rnacentral:rRNA from 1 species
AUUGAACGCUGGCGGCAUGCCUUACACAUGCAAGUCGAACGGCAGCGCGGGGCAACCUGGCGGCGAGUGGCGAACGGGUGAGUAAUAUAUCGGAACGUGCCCUGGAGUGGGGGAUAACGUAGCGAAAGUUACGCUAAUACCGCACACGAUCCAAGGAUGAAAGCAGGGGACCUUCGGGCCUUGUGCUCCUGGAGCGGCCGAUAUCUGAUUAGCUAGUUGGUGGGGUAAAAGCCUACCAAGGCGACGAUCAGUAGCUGGUCUGAGAGGACGACCAGCCACACUGGAACUGAGACACGGUCCAGACUCCUACGGGAGGCAGCAGUGGGGAAUUUUGGACAAUGGGGGCAACCCUGAUCCAGCAAUGCCGCGUGUGUGAAGAAGGCCUCGGUUGUAAG